UACGUAGGGGGCAAGCGUUAUCCGGAUUUACUGGGUGUAGAGGGUGAGUAGGCGGGAAGGCAAGUCAGAUGUGGAAUGCAGGAGCCCAACCCCUGAACUGCAUUUGAAACUGUUUUUCUUGAGUGUCGGAGGGGUAAUCGGAAUUCCCAGUGUAGCGGUGAAAUGCGCAGAGAUUGGGAGGAACACCAGUGGCGAAGGCGGAUUACUGGACGACAACUGACGCUGAGACACGAAAGCGUGGGGAGCAAAC
rnacentral:rRNA from 1 species